UGCGCCGGGAACUCGCCGAGGCGGCAGGGGUGACGGCAGCGGCGGCAGCAGCAGCAGGGGAGCGGAGCGGCGACAUCGCGGGUUGGAGGCGCCGCGGUGGGAACGGCCGUGGCUGGCGCCGCUUCUCUCCUCUCGCUCCCUCCCUUCUCCUCCGCGGUGGGGCUGCGUGGCGGCGCAAGUCCCGCGCUCGGCGAUCCUCGUCCUCCGUCGGUCGGUCGGCCGCCGCGCCGCGCACUGCAGAUCGCGCAACGGGGGAGAGGGACGAUUUGACGCUGCGACCCCCCGCCGCCCAUAUUUUUUUUUUUUUAAUUAUUUACUGUUAUCCGUUCCUCUUUCUUUCCUUGCUACGCUCCGUGGUCUUUGCCGGCGACAAGGACAGCAGUGCUGCUCCCCGGGGAAGCCGAAGCCCUGUGGAUGCGCCUCCCUGGGACCGGGGGAGCUGACUCGGAGUGGAUUUAUUGACUCGUGGGUGUUUCCGAGCUCCCCGAAACAGCCCGGGCUAGCGUCCUGCGGAUUGUAAACUGCGGGGAGCAGUGAGAGACACGCAGGAGGAGCCUCCCGCCGAAGCUGUGUCCUUUUCCCUCACCCCUUUAUUUCUCCUACCACCGUUUGUUUUACCCUGUUUUUUUUUUAAUUCCCUCCUCCUUUUCACGCGAGCCUUAAGACACUGAGAACGCGUAUGGCGCUCUGGAUUCAAAUGGGAGUUGGCAGUUUGAGUGGCAUCUUCCAAGGCAGCCGGGAGACCCCCUGUAAGAGGAAGAACUGAGGCGUUUGCAUUUUUUUGUUAUUGCUUCGGAGGUAGCUUGGAUCUUACCUCACAGGAGAUAUUCCUACAUGCGAGUGGCAUACAUGACUCAGUAGAUCUGCUUGCAGCUCUCGCCAAGUACAUCGUCGACUCUUAGCUUGUGAUUUUUUUAUUUUAUUUUAUUAUUAUUAUUCCCUAUUAAUCGUCCCAGCUGUUGGGAUACCGGGCACCCACCCUACUGUUGCUGCUCAGGUGCGGGGGAAGGCGCACGGCGGAGUUGGCGAGGCUCUGGGGAGGGACUCGGUGCCGCCUGCGACCAUGGCAGCGCGGAGGCGAGAUACCUCCGCCUGGAAGUACUGCUGGGGAGCCGUGAUGGUUUUAUGCAGAACUGCACUGGCGCGGUCCAUCGUUUUAGACCCCAUAUAUUGGAAUUCCUCCAACCCCAAAUUCCUUCCUGGACAAGGAUUGGUACUAUAUCCACAGAUAGGAGACAAACUGGAUAUUAUAUGCCCAAAGGUGGACUCUAAAACUGUUGGUCAAUAUGAAUAUUAUAAGGUCUACAUGGUUGAUAAAGACCAAGCAGAUAGCUGUGCUAUUAAAAAGGACAAUACACCUCUACUCAAUUGUGCCAAGCCAGAUCAAGAUGUUAAGUUUACCAUCAAGUUUCAAGAGUUCAGUCCUAAUCUCUGGGGCCUGGAAUUUCAGAAGAACAAAGAUUAUUACGUCAUAUCAACAUCAAAUGGGUCUUUGGAGGGCCUGGAUAACCAGGAGGGAGGGGUAUGCCAGACAAAAACCAUGAAGAUCCUCAUGAAAGUUGGACAAGAUCCCAACUCGGCAGGGCUGCCCCGGCACACGGAUCCCACCAAGCGCCCUGAGCAGGAAGCUGGCACCAAUGGGAAGAGUUCCACCACCAGCCCUUUUGUGAAGGACCACUCAGGAUCUAGCACAGAUGGCAGUAAGGCUGGGCAUUCCAGUAUACUGGGUUCAGAGGUGGCCUUAUUUGCAGGGAUUGCAUCAGGGUGCAUCAUUUUCAUCGUCAUCAUCAUCACUUUGGUGGUUCUUUUGUUGAAGUACCGGAGAAGACACAGGAAGCAUUCCCCGCAACACACGACAACUCUAUCACUUAGUACAUUAGCCACCCCAAAACGCAGUGGCAACAACAAUGGUUCUGAGCCCAGUGACAUUAUCAUUCCUCUAAGGACUGCAGACAGUGUCUUUUGCCCCCACUAUGAAAAGGUCAGCGGCGACUAUGGACAUCCAGUGUACAUAGUUCAAGAGAUGCCUCCUCAGAGUCCAGCAAACAUUUAUUACAAGGUCUGAAAACACACAACCAUCUCUGUGGUACAGUUGAGUCGUAGAGGAAACUCACUGGUCAAAUGCUUUCUGUUGGGGUUUGUGAUGAUGCCUGGUGCGCUAGCAUUGACUUAAGCACAGGGGGGAGAAAGCAACAGCUCUUUCUCCAGGAACCAACGCGAGCUGGACAGCUUACCUAGUCUGUAGAAUUCCUAUCUCAGUGAAUAAGUAUUCACUAAAAGCUGGAAGACUUUUAUGUAGAAGAUGCCCAUUCUGAUUGCUGUACUCUUGUUACAUUCAUCAUCCUCAAAGCCAUGUGCUGCGGGCGUUCAGGCAUGUACAAAAGCCAAGGGAAGAUGGAGCAAUCCGUGGAUGUUAAUAGCUCUAGGCAUCCUGGGAAGGUGCUCUAGGAUAUAUCAACCUUGAAAUGCAAUCUUCUGACUUUUGUGUGUCUCUCUCAGUGCAUACUGGAUUUGUCACACAGACCUUGGUGUCUAAGUAAGACUUGUUAAAGUUCUCUCGCUUUUAGUCCGUCACUGUUCCAUUUGUUUCUGUUAUCCAGGGCUCUGCCAUCCUUCACAUAAGAUUUCCUUUCACUCCACCUCCUGAAUCACUAAUGGAACAUUAAUGUUUGGAGAUCCGCACUCCAUCCAUCUGCUACAGCAGCCUCACUCGAAUGGGUAAUGCAUUUAUAAAAAUUGUGUUUGAUAGUAAGGAGCCUUCCAGCCAAAUAGUUAGGCUGUCAACAAAGUCAAGAGCAGGACUGGGUGGUGGAGGGAAGGGCUGAUUGCAGUUGAAUAUUGCUGCCUCAAAAAUAGAAGCUGGGAAGUAAAAAACAAUACAUUUAGGUAGCACAGCACUUUGGUAUGCUAAGUUUUAAGAGGCAGGUAGGAAACACAAUAACAUGCACAGUGGAUUAAGGCUGCAUUUGAAGGAAUUCUUGGUUAUCAAAUACCAGUGUGCAGAAAAAAAUAGAACCUUCGAUACAGUAGAACAGAGGGGUAUUGUUAGUAAGUGAACAAGCUUGGAGAAGACAAGACAAUAGCAGGCCACUGAGGAUUAUAUUAGGGCAGGGCUGAUGUGGUACUGGCAAUAAGAUACACAGCUUUGAAGCUGUAGGGAAAACACAGUCUGCUUUGGGUGACUUUUAAGCAGACUCAGCUGCUAUACUAUCAGAUUAUAGUAAACAUAGGGAAAGCAUUUAAGAAAAUAGCAGAGAGCCAAGUCUGACCAAGAAGAUUAUAAGCCAACGGGUCAAAUGAGCUAAUUCUAUCACUGGUGAAGUUGUGGAAAAAAAAAAAAAGGGCAACAAACCACAAAACCUUUCUCAUCUCUAAAAGUAAGGCAGAAUUUCUUUCUGACUGACCCUUUUGGCACUUUGGCUUAUUGUUGUGCUGUCCCUGCACAGUGAGUGUAGGUACUGUGACUGACACAGCCGUUCAUUGGUGCUCUGUUGCAAAGUGAAAGCACAUAUGGCAAACCUCUUUCAGUCCAUAAGAAUAAAAUAAAUUAUGACACUGAGAUGGAGAAGGAAAAUAUGUCUUAUUUAUAAUAGGUGUAUAGAACACAAGGGAUAUAAAGUGAGAUUUUUUUCUUUCGUUCAUUUUUUCUUACUUUUUAUUUUGGUUUGGUUUUUUUACUAAUAUAUAUUUUGAGAUUGCACAGAAUCUACACCAGAAGAUGUGAAAUUCAUUUGCGGCAAUUACAUAGUCUUAACUUCUUAUCAUUUUACAUAUAUAAAUGUGUGUGUAUAUAAGUAUAUACACACAUAUAUAUAUUUAUAUAUGCAUACAUAUGCAUAUAUAUUUAUGCAUACGCACACAUUUUUAAAAAAAAUAAACUACUUCUGGGAAAAAAAAAAAAAAAUCAGCCAUCCAAAAAUAACAAUGGGAGCACAUUUAAAAAAAUAAAAAUUCCAAAGCAUCUUAUAAGAGAAAACUAGGAAAUGUAAGGCCCAAAAUAUCAAGAAGUCAAUGUUACUGCAUCACAUAUUUAACAGUGACAAGGUGUGCCGGCAUUUAUUUUCUGUGUUGUGAUUUCCCUUGCCUUACAGGCUGAUGUGUUCUGUAGAUUUUGUUGAGGUUCGUAGAGGGAGGUUUCAGGUUAAAGUUUUCUCUUUAGCAUGGCUGUUCCCCUAAAGCUCCCACCCUGGGGAGGAAGUAAAAAAACUCUACUUUUAUAUGUGCUAUGCAAAUAGACAUUUCUAACAUAGUCAUGUUACUAUGGUAACACUUUGCUUUCUGAUUUGGAAAGAAAAUGUAGCAACAGCAUUUUAGGGUUCUCAGACGUCCAGUGAGCCCCUGAAAAAAAAGAAAAAAAGAAAAAAUCUGUUAUAGAAAUUAUCACUCUCUUUGUUUUCUGAACCUGAGGAUUAUGUUGAGAUGUUGGUCCAAAAGAGAGAAACAAAAACAAAAAAAAUCUCAACCCAUGGUUCUGUGGAAGGUUACCAUGGUGACUAACUACAGUACAUAUGUAAUUCUUUUCAACAAUCUUUCCUUUCUGUGAAUCCAUCCAUACAAGGUUCUCUUACAGACCACACUUUGAGCUAAGUCUGCGUCCUUUCCCAAGUACUAAAGAUCCCUGCUUGCAACCAGACUGUCACCAUCUCCAUCAUCUCUGAAAACACACAGUUUAGGUCAUUCACCAGGGGCAUAGGAGUCCAAGGUUUACAUACACAGCCAACGUGACUCAGAACAGAGGUAUGGAUCUAUGAUUUCAGAUCCUUAGCAGUUAACUGAAUAUCGAUGACUUGCUGCAACCCCCCCAAAAAAGAGCACAGACCAAUCAGGAUUCAUCUCACCCAUCAUCUGUGCAGAUGUGAGACACAUGUGCUGUGUUUAACCUGAAGUGCUAAAGACCCAAGAUAUGGAGUAUCUCCCAGUGCUUCUGAUUUCUGAACACAGCUAUUUAGAAGACUGGGUGCAUUUCAAGUCUUGUCACUGGAAUGUAGAGUCCUAUGGCAGCCUGCAAGCUGUCUUGCUGUUCCUUGAGGAAUCACUUUCUGACUCACAUCUUAGCAGCUAUGCAUAAAUGGAGGAUUGUGCUGUGCACUCGGGGGACUAAACUGUGGUAUUUUGCUGCUAGUCUCUGUGAGUAGUACCAAUCAGUAUGGUCUACAGCAGGUCCUCUUGGCCCACAUGAGCUACCAGGUGUCUAAAAAAACCAGAACUGGAUGAAUAUUGAACAACAGUAUUCAUGAACAUUCACAGGGAUUUGAAAUGACUGUUUGAUCUCUCCAUAUCAAGGCCUCUUGUUAUCUGCUGCUCCUGCGGUUUCAGACAGAAAGUUUUUUGUUCCUGAGGAGGUUUGAGGAAUGGCUGAUUUGUGUGAAUACCCGUAUUUGCAUGCGAACGAGGCUAUUGCUUUACAAACAAGAGCGUUCAUUAUUCCUCUGUUUAAAAGGAUACACUAACCCAAUUAGUGAGCUGGAAGAAUAUCCCGUGAUUUAGCUAACCAAUAAAGUGCUUCAAGUAGGAGGCAGUGAAUACUUAAAACUGUGCAGUAUCUGAAUCCCCAUGUUGGCAUUUCCAAAACCUUUGAAAGUUGAACCUUCUCUUUAAGAAAAUAAGAACAAUUGCACUCUUCACCCCUCCCAUGUGUUAUUAAAAGCACACCAAAGAGAACAGCCCUCAGAGAAGUCUGUGUGGAUCUGUGUGUUUCAGAUGCUUCUCCUCCUUCCAAAACAUGCUUUGAACAGUGUAGAAAGUAAUUUAAUGUUGAUGCUUAAAAACAACUUAGCUAACUGUUCUUGAAACAAAGAGGAGCAUCACACCUCUACAGCACUGCUUCAAGCUUUCUGCAGAUUCAGGCAGGUAUCUGUUACACUCAAACAACAUUUACGGCAUAGUCUAUGAAAGAAAAGCUGAAGGACUGAGAGUGUACCGCUGCGUAUUUCCUCAUGUUCUGAUUAUAGUCAAAUGAAGUCCACCUUUUCUGAUGCUGACAAAAAUUAGUCUACUCACCUAACUUGUGCAAAUGUUAAUUUCAGAGAGUAGGUACGUUAAAAAAAAAACAAAACAAAACAAAAAACAAGCAAACAAACAAAAAAAAACCCCAAGAGGAAUCAAGGUUAUUCGCAAAUGAUUCUCACACAGAAAAGAGGUAUUUGCCAUCAAUAUUACUGAGGGUGAAUAAUCCAUCCAUCUGUGCUAAGUAGCAUCAGAAAAAAAAAGAGUUCCUAAGUUAUUUCUCGCUAAGCUCUAUUACAUAUAAGGAGGUUUAUGCGAUUUAGGUAAGAUCUGGAAAAGUAUCAAAACUUCUGAAUUUAUACUCAAGUUUCCACACCUCUGGGUUCAGGGUAAAAGGUAAGAUUUACAGACUCUGGCAGAAAAUGAAAAAGCUUCCUAAUAAUCAUCAGUACUCCCAACCCUUUCCACAGAUGCUAUUUACCUCCACCUCCUCUUCUUUUUCUUCUUUUUUUUCCUUUUUUUUUUUUUACUCUAGGGGUUUAUUUUUCCCUGCUCCUCCUAACCCCUAGGAUAUUUAAUUAAUUUUCUAAAUUAUCCUCUUUUUAUCUCAGGUUCUUUAAUAACUGUUGCUUCUUUACCACACACUAUUCACUUUAUCUUAUCAUGUGGCUUCUUACAUCUACUCUGCAGAUGCGUUUUCAGGGCUUUUUACAGCUCUGCCCCAGCACCUCAUCUUUCAUCACCCCACCUCUUUGUUCCUCUUUAUAGUGCCUCCUCUUCAUACCUUGUUGCUGGAGCUGAAACUAUGACAUUUCCACACUGUUGCCUGGGCCUAGGAGAAAAACAAAUAUAAAACAGUUGAAUUCCAGGAGAUGAUGUUGGCAUGAGAAUGUAUACAGGCACUGUGUUAAAGCACUGGUAAAACAAGACCUCCGUGUUAGCUACAGAAAUGCAACACAUAGGCCUCAUUUAAGAUAGGAUUAUACUCUGUCUCUAGAAUUUGAACUUUUGAUUUUUUGGCAUUGACUUCUAUCUUUGACUAGUAUUUGCCUUGGGUUUAAAUCAGAGAAACUUCAUGUAUCUUAUCUUAUUUUGAUGACAAAAUGUCCUGUCUUAACAUGGUGAAAAAUUCAAUGACUAGUAGAAAAUCUUCCUGGUUUUAGAAGCUACCUACCAAAAUCUGAGGACUAGCUGCAAGAUGGACACCACAUAGCUCAGAGAAACAGAAAUAAAGUAUCUCUAAGUUUGUUUAAUAGAGGAGAAAAAAAAUAAUAGAGGUUCCACAUAUCAUUGUGUUGCUGGGUUCUGUGAUGUUGUCCCCAGAAGUCCCUCCUGGCUUGCUUUCUUCCACAGCCCGUGAUAUGAUCACUCAGUUGUCCUGAAGCAUCCCUGAUUGCUUGCAGUCAAAUGAUAUAACUUGGAAUUAAGGUUAAAUACCCUUCUUAGGACAAACAGAAAAGGAUGGCUAUUAGGAAGCAAAUAAUCUGAUCUUUCCUCUUCCUUGCAUUCUCUUAUCUUCUCUCUUCAUUCUUUUUUAAAAUAGCCAGAGCUCAUAAGCAUAGUAUAUUUGCUUUAAAUGACUUAUACUGUUUGCAUGUAUUCCACAAUUCCUUCUUUGUCUGACUAGUUUUAGGUUCUCUGCUGAAAUAAUGUACCUGCAUAAUUUUCAGGUCAGUCUUGUCUUUAGCUCCAAAAAAUGCCUUUCAAGUGGCUUUACUUAAUAAACUUUAGUGAUAAAUAAUAUAGUGUAUGAAGUACUUAUAUAUCCAGCUUUUCAUAAUGUCCCUCUACCUUUCAAUCUUUUAAAUGAAGUGAGGAGUUUAAGAUUUAUAAGCUAACUACAAACAGUCAUUCAGUUGUUAAAAUAGUGCACCGAGCUGCUGUGCUCUUCUAGCUUCAUUUGUUCAACUUGCUUUCUCAAAAACACACAAAAGAUUCCUGUUGCUUCAUGAUCCCAUCCCUCUGAGUCAAAGUGGGAUCAAGAAGGGAGCACUGGCCAAUUUCUCCCCAGCCCUCAAAGUGUCCAGACAAGAAGGAAAAACUUGUUUUCCAUCAUUUCUUGAGCUUUGAAAAAAGGCUUAAAAUCUCCCCUUCCUCAUCUUUGAUUAGAGUGAGGUUGCUUGAGGACUUCAGCCAGCCCAAACAUGACAUUUGAGAGCAAAUUGUUUAUACUUUUUUCUCCUUCCCCUCCUAGGUCUUCUGGAAGUUUUGGAAAAGUUAACAUGACUUAUGAAAGUCUGUCCCAGCAUAUUGGAAGACACUUGUAUAUGUCACUUAUACCUUCCUCCUGUGAACUGCCAGAACUGCAGAGUGAAACAGCAGGAUAGGAUUGCCUUGCUGAAGAUUGUUCCACUCUUCUCUGUAAAUGUUUAUGUAAAUUCCUGUGUAAGCUAUUUUAGCUAUUGAAUGGACAAGGCUGUGUGUAGUCGCUGUAAAACUCCUUUGCCAGCAAAGGAGAAGGAUUCUGAGAUGCCUUUCUGCAGCUUCCAGUCUUUUUGUAUCUUUUCUGUACUUCUCCCAGCUACAGCACGGAUCUGUACCUGUCCCUUUUGCACACCCCAAGUUCAAGGAUUUCAGGCUGAGAGAAAUAUUUCUUCCCUCGGCAUCAGCGCUUCCACAAUAAAGUGGCUCUUGUAAACCAAAUGGAGGUUUUUGGCUGAGGGAGAAUUGCAUUCCCCUUCUAAAGAAAAUGAAGACGUACAAGAAACAGAAUCAUAGCUCAAAUGAAUUAGAAAGUUGUAUUAUUUUGGUCUUAAAAAAUCGUCAAAAUAGCAACAACAGAAAUUCCCCAAGUGUUCGCUUAAUUGAAAUCUCUAUGUCAGCUUUAAAUCAGGCAACCAUCAAGUUAUGGAGGACAUUGCUACAGGAGUUCAGAAAUCCCCAAUAUUUAGUUCUGUUUAUACAAACCUGAGUGUUUCAUUUCCUUUGCUGGAAAGACACCCAAAAUGACCAACUCCCUCCUCUUUGAUUUAUGAUCAUAUGGAGAUAGAGAGUUGUCCUGGUUUCAGCUGGGACAGAGAUAAUUUUCUUCUUAAUAGCUGGUGCAGUGCUGUGUUUUGUAUUUAGGAUGAGAAUAAUGUUGAUAACACAGGGAUGUUUUAGCUGCUGCUGAGCAGCACUUGCACAGAGUCAAGGCCUUCUCUGCCUCUCUAGCCAUCAACAGCAAAUAGCUGGGGAUGUACAAGCAGUUGGAAGGGGACACAGCUGAGACAGCUGACCUCAAGUAACCACAGGGAUAUCCCAUACCAUAUGGCAUCAUGAUGAAAAAUAAAACUAGAGGGGACUGCCUGGGAUGUGGUGGCCCACUGCUUGGUUGGCCUGGGCAUUGGAUCAGAGCAAUUCCAUUGUACAUCGCUUGCUUCUUUUAUUAUUAUUAUUAUUAUUAUUAUUAUUAUUAUUAUUAUUAUUAUUAUUAUUAUUAUUUCCCUUCCUUUUCUGUCCCAUUAAACUGUCUUAAUCUUGACCUACAAGUUUUACCUUUUUUCUGAUUCUCUUCCCCAUCCCAUUGUGGGUUGUGAGCAAACGGCUUUGUGUUGUUUAGCUGCCUGAUAGGUUAAACCACAACAGGGAUAUAAGAGCAAGUCCUAGUAUUUCUUUUGAAACAGCCCUUUUCACUUAAUUUCAGUUCACUUACAGCAUAACUGGGCACUGCUCCUGACUGAAACCUUAAGGCAUUUCUGAAACACUAAUAAGUAACUUAAUUAACAACAAUGAACAUUCUCUGAACAUUCAGAACUGAAGCAUAAUGCUAAUUUCAACAAAAGAAAUUAAAUACUGCACUCAAUGAAAUACUAGCUUUGCUUGCACUAUGUUAAUAGCAAAAGUACUGGUGAUACCAGUGUGGGCAGGACUUUACCCAGUUUUCUGAUACAGCAAGUUUUCUAACGUUAGUUUAACUUCUAGAGUAUUUUUACCCAAGCUAGAGUUGUUGUUAGUACCUGGAAGAUGACCCUAAUAUGUGUGGAAGCCUUACUGAGGUCCUUGGAAAGUGGGUAUUGAUGACUUAGUCGAGGGUGAUUACAUUUUGAUCCAUGUCCCUAACCCCAAAUAAGUACUUUUUGAACAACUGUAACAAAAAGAGCUUAAAGCAAUUUACAGCAACAGCAAAAGACUCCACUGGGGAACAGCAUGACAUCUAUCCGCUUUCUGCCACCAUUCCCACAGGGCCAACUUGAAACGCCUUGGGGGAAGGACAAGCUAUUCUUGCUAUGCCAGCUGUUCUCCGUAGCAUCAUUAUUCACUGGCACAGCCAAAGUACUUCUGAAAAUGCUCUAACUUGCACAAGGAAUUGAUUUGUGUGUAGGAGCUUUCAAGACUAGAGAAGUGGGGGGUUGUAGGGGACUGAUGGAAAAGUCGUCACUCUAAGGGUCACUGAACGUUUCUCUGACACUACAGGAGUAGUCUUUAAUGUAACACUGAAAAUUGGAUGAAGCAUUUUAUUUCCACUCUCUUGUAUCAAUCAUUCUUGUUUCCUGUGCAAACACAGACAUUUCUAUCAUUAGGCUAAAAAUAAAACCUUUUGAGAACUCAAGCAACUGGUCUGUCUAGUUCUUUUCAUGUAAUGUUUUUUCUGGUAGUAGCAAUAACAGGAUGUGCUAACCAUUUCUCACUGUAAUAAUCUGGUCUAGUCACUGAUAUAAACAACUUGCCCUUUGACCUUAUAAUUUAUUCACAGCAGGCCUAGUACAAGACAGCUUAAGUAAUAAAAGUAUUAAUAAAUAAUUUGCAAUUAUAGACAUUUUCUUUCCUGUGUUAAAGUAAGUAUAAUAAUGACACAAAUAGAGUCCUGUGGAGAUAGGUGUCUUGCACAGGGCUGACUAAGGUAAUAUUGUUAUCACUGCUGCCUUUCCAAAUAAAUUUCACCUAAAAACCUUAACAUGGUUAUGAUUCUUUCUCCAGUGCAUGAGCCUAGGAAGUCUAAAGUGUUGUGCAAAAGGCAUGCCCACGUUUGGGACAAUAGCAGAGGGUCUGAUGGUUGGAGGCAGAAACCCCCAAACAAACUGCUGUUAUCUGAUAGAAAUAACCAGAAAAGAUACAAUUUUGUCUGAAGACCAUGCUAAAUAGAUCCAUAAAAUUUAAGCUGAAACCUUCUCAUCUACUUGCUGAACAUAUGUAUUUAAUCUACAAGACGAGCUGAACCUGGGAUGUGAAUAGCAAAGCAGAAUUUGACCUUCAUUUUUUUAGUUAUUACUGAACAUGUGUGAUGUGAGAACAUUGAGAUCCUCUGCCAUUCAUUAUAGCAAAUGUCAAGUGGGUGUUGUGUGGAACUGAGAGAGACCAAUCUUGAGAGAACAUCCGCCUUCAAUAAGUGGAACUCCAGAUUACACAAAGCUGCAGGCAUAAAAGCAGCUACAAAAGAAAGUUCACUCUGAAAAUGAAACAAUUUUCUCUAGAAAAAUGAACAUGAAAGUUAAACAGCCAUCCUCACCCUUGCCUGGAAGAUCUGAGAAAGGAGGUGGAGAGAAAAGUGUCCACUCUUUGGUCUCUGCAUGGGUGACAAUCAUUGUAGGUGGGGGACCACUAUACCAACUAAUAGAAGUGCCUGAAAAUGUUCCCAGGCUCUGCUGCUGGACCAGAAAACAAAACCUGUUCCUGCUAAUAAAUUCCAUCAUUCUCUGUAACUAGAUGGCUGUGUGAAAAAGUGCUUGUUGGAAAUGAUCCUGGGAAUAUUUAUACUCCCAAGCUGGUUUGGGAUUUUUUUGUAUGAGUGCUGGAUGGCAUGUGUGCCAAAAGUGUGCCAGGAAAUAGUUUGACAAUUUAGGGAUAUUUAGGGAUUGCCUAGAUUAGGAAAAAGGCCCAAUAAGAACAGAUCCAUGGCAGAAAACAUCUGGUGUUGAGGAUCACAUCCACACUGACAUUCAAAGUCUUUGUAUUUCAGAGUUUUACUGUUUCCUAGCUCUAGCCCACUCCCGCAGACAGAAUGUCCAUUAGCAGUCAAAGUGCAUUAGAUGCCCUCUGAGACUGCUCCUCCAGGUUUAUUUUUAUCUGAAAGGAAUUCAUUUUGCACAUUCCAAACAUGAUGUGAACCAAAGUGCAGGAAGUGAGAACUACUGGGAGAUUUGCUUCAGUAGUGCAUCCUGAUCUGAACUAUAAUGCUACCUCACAUACACUCAGAGGCAACUGCAUCUCUCUGUUUGAGAACAUUCCCAAUCACAGUUUAAUUUACCAGUUCAUCCAGUUCAAUUGCACAUAAAAAUUGUGUGAGGCUUUGGCAUGCUAAGUGGAAAUUGGAUUUAAAAUUUUAUUGCUAAAAUUGAGUAAAUCUCUACUGAAUGUUUGAACUGUCAUUCUUAGAGUGCCUAGAAUAAAUUUGGGAAAGUUUGCAAGUGGAUGCAAAAAACACAACUGUUAUAUAUAGACUGUGUUCAUGAAGUGUUUUAAAUGUGUCUGGCUAGUGUAUCUGAGAAAAGAGGAGGGAGAGAGAGAGUGUUUGAAUGUUAAAGGGAAAGAGAAAGGCCUAAAGAGUAUUUCUUCUUAUAGAUUAGAAAAAUCUUCACAGUAAACUUACAGCCAAAAUUUCCAGUCCUGACUAAAGCAAGUGAUGUUUGGCAUGCUGUAUCUGCAGGUCGUGAGCUUUAAUUACAUCACAUUAUCUUUCACUGUAAGAUCUGGACUGCAGUUGCCUUUAGGUUGGAAUCCAAACUGAUAAGGAGCUUUUUAUCACUACAUAGUACAUCAGACAUAGUUUGUAAGGAACAGAUAGUCAUCUGCUCUACCAACCUGCCUAUUCUAGUUGAAGUUGCCUCCAGGGAAUAGAUACCAGAAACUUUACAUUUAGAACACUUAAAAAGAAAGAUUCCUGGCAAAUGUGAUGGCAAAAGUGGUAUUUAAAGAAAAGCUGUGUAAUACAGUACCUAAAUAAUUUUAUAGUCCUACUGCUAUUUUAGUAUGCUGGUAGGAUAUCUGAACCACUUGCUCUUGACUUGUACCUUGUUAGUAAUGAUGUUAUGCAUAAUGCAGCAAAGGAAUUCUUCAUUCCUGAGCAGGGGAACAGAAGUGAACAGAAGUGCCUUUUACAACUCAUCUCUUAUGGAUCAAAGGAAACGUCAAGCUUGCCUUAUCAUGUAAGCGAGUUUAGCAUCCUUGAGCUUUGCUGUUAGAGUUACACAUACUUAGCCCACAGUUUUUGCUAUGUUUGCAUUAACUGAAAUUGUAUGUUUGUGGAUUGCACAGGUUUGAUUUCUGCUGGUAGUUAGAUGUUCAGUGUGUCUAUUAAAAUUACAUAUUUUCAGGACUUACUGUGAAAUAUAUCAGAAAUUAUUAAAAAAUGUGAAGAUAUUUAUUUUGGGCUAAAAUAAUCUAAAAAACACCCAAACCCAAUUAAUUUCAAAAAUAGUCUGUGAGGGGAAAGAUUAGAGGAAAAGAAAAUCCCAAUAACUGGAAAAUUAUUCUUUUUGUGUACAUUUAUUACAAUUUUAUUUUAGUAGUGUUUGUGCUUUCUGUAUUUGUAAAACAUAACUUAAAAACAGUAUAGAUGUAAAAGCUGGAAGCUGGGAAAUGAAACCUUACUGUGGUCAUACUGUUAAAAUGAAUGAGGGAUUUUGUUGCUAACUACAUGUUUCUGUCUGAUGUGUUUUAUACCUUCAUUGUAUAUUGUGUAUGUGAAGUACAAAUCAUAUAAGUGAUAGAGUAACUGCUUUACAGUGUUCACCAAUCCACUAAAUGCUGUUCUAAAAAUAAACAAACAAAAGGCACUGUAAUGUUUGACCUUAAUGCCUUUUGGUGGGGAUCUAGUACAUUAUGAGUCUGAACAGCACUGCUUGUCUCAUUUAGAUUUCAGGGUUUUUAGGGCAAAGUGUAUGUUCCAUCUGGGUUUUGUGUCUUGCUGAGCAGUUUGACAGUUUCUACUAAAUCAUAAUAAUUAGAACAGCAAAAAUUCUAAUUGGUGUCUUUGAGAAAAAAAAUGUCUCAUGAAGCUUCUCCCUUUGAACAAUCAAUACACACUUUCUUAAUUGAAGAGAGCCAUAUUAGCCAAGAAACUUUUUAUUCCUACUCAUGCAUUUACCCCUUCCCAUCAAAUCUAUAUCGUACUCUUGUUGUGGGAAAACUGUUUACCUGGUUGGGUGGUUGUGCUGCUGUUGGCCUCGUAGCUUUCAAGCCUGCAGCUACUAUUUUUUUUGCUAGUUCAGCACUUCUUCAAAAGAACGCUCAUUUUCCAGGAAAGAAUGCCAUAGAAAGGAUCCUGAAAAUGCACUCUGGGUGUAUUUAUGUAUUCAACUGUAUUCUACUUUCAUCUGUUGUUUUUUGUAAAGCAGAAGGGUAGAAGCCAGUUUUCAUCUCAAAGCCAUGUAGUUAUGUAAGAAACUCAGGUAGAAUUGAGGUAAUAUAUCAGGACUUGCAUUAAAAGUAUGGAUCCCAAAGAGCUUUGGGGCUGGAGCUGGCAUUCUUCCUGCUGGAUUUGGACUCUUGGGCAGAAAUAGUGUGUGACUGACUACGCAGAGAUUCCCCAUGACUGGCUUACUGUGCUGGUGCCAGCUUUCUAUCAACUUUCAGGUCUCUUCUCCAGUAACAGAGCUCUGGGUUUCGGUGCUGAAAUUGUGGUAUUCUCUUCUUUCAUGGUGUUUAGAAAAGAAACAGUGGUUGCCUACCUAGGUAUUGAUGUUAAAUAUUUACUUAACAUUGCCAAAAUUGGUGAGAAAAAGAGAAUUUUCAAUGGGAAAACCAUACUGGCAGUAAGCUUUGUUUAUAACAGUAAAUCAGUUUUUGUCUU